rnacentral:rRNA from 1 species
AGUGGCGGACGGGUGAGUAAUACGUAGGAAUCUGCCUGGGAGUGGGGGACAACCUGGGGAAACUCAGGCUAAUACCGCAUACUCUGUGGGAAAGCGGUGCUCGCAGAGGAGCCUACGUCGGAUUAGCUAGUUGGUAGGGUAAGGGCCUACCAAGGCGACGAUCCGUAGCUGGUCUGAGAGGAUGAUCAGCCACACUGGGACUGAGACACGGCCCAGACUCCUACGGGAGGCAGCAGUGGGGAAUCUUGGACAAUGGGCGCAAGCCUGAUCCAGCAAUGCCGCGUGGGUGAAGAAGGCCUGCGGGUUGUAAAGCCCUUUUGCCGGGGAGGAAUGCCGCUACCCGGUGAAGAAGCACCGGCCAACUCCGUGCCAGCAGCCGCGGUAAUACGGAGGGUGCGAGCGUUAAUCGGAAUUACUGGGCGUAAAGCGCACGUAGGUGGCCUGUUAAGUCAGCUGUGAAA